GUCUUCUUCUUUAUAUGACUAAAUAUUUUUGUUCCCACAUGUCUUCACAAAUGAGAUGUUGUUUUCUAGCUAUAAUAUGUUGGUAUAUCAGCCCACAAGCUCACCUUCAGUUCUCCCAUGAAAGCUCCAAUCUAUUCUGAUUUCUUGUUUUCACAGGCAUAUAGGUUGAAUAUAUUGUUCAAUUGUUGGUUGCAGUUAUUGCUGACCCAGGUGGAGG
rnacentral:misc_RNA from 1 species